CUACGUCUCCUACAAGCUGGGCGAGCGUCUCCUGGACAACUGACGUACGGCUGGAUACUACUGCACUUGUCACUUGGAGCUACUAUUCAUUAUGUGGUGCUUAAUCGUAUUUGGUAACCUACCUUAAUCGUAUUCUGCAACUUCCUGUUUUCGACUUUGCCAGUGUGGUGCUGCAACUUGGAGUAAGCAUGUUCUAUUGUGUUGGUCGUUUGCUUGUGUUCUAGACAGUUGAUGCAAUGUGGCCGGGCGGAUUGAAAUGUUUAAUUGUAGUACUUCUGAGAUCAGAGAUGCACUUACCUUCUGAGUUUCUGUUUGUUUUUCAGUCACCAACAUGCAUCAAAAUGCAUAUCGUUUGGUAUUAGAAUGCCAAGAAGACCCGAUCGAAAGCAUACAAAAACCAAAGGAAACAAAUG
rnacentral:lncRNA from 1 species